CCUACGGGUGGCAGCAGUGGGGAAUAUUGCACAAUGGGCGAAAGCCUGAUGCAGCAACGCCGCGUGAAGGAAGAAGGGUUUCGGCUCGUAAACUUCUAUCAACAGGGACGAAAGAAAUGACGGUACCUGACUAAUAAGCCCCGGCUAACUACGUGCCAGCAGCCGCGGUAAUACGGAGGGGGCAAGCGUUAUCCGGAAUUACUGGGUGUAAAGGGUGAGUAGGCGGCAUGGUAAGCCAGAUGUGAAAGCCUUGGGCUUAACCCGAGGAUUGCAUUUGGAACUAUCAAGCUAGAGUACAGGAGAGGAAAGCGGAAUUCCUAGUGUAGCGGUGAAAUGCGUAGAUAUUAGGAAGAACACCAGUGGCGAAGGCGGCUUUCUGGACUGAAACUGACGCUGAGGCACGAAAGCGUGGGGAGCGAACAGGAUUAGAUACCCCAGUAGUC
rnacentral:rRNA from 1 species